rnacentral:rRNA from 1 species
CCCCUAGAUGUUCUGGGCCGCACGCGCGCUACACUGAACAGUUCAACAAGUCUUAACCUUGGCCGAUAGGUCUGGGUAAUCUUUGAACGCUGUUCGUGAUUGGGAUAGACCUUUGCAAUUAUGGGUCUUCAACGAGGAAUUCCUAGUAAACGCAAGUCAUCAGCUUGCAUUGAUUACGUCCCUGCCCUUUGUACACACCGCCCGUCGCACCUACCGAUUGAAUGGUCCGGUGAAAUCUCGGGACGGCGGCUUGGUCGCUUGCGUCCGACUGCUGAAACUUGAUUAAACCAUAUCAUUUAGAGGAAGGUUAAGUCGUAACA